rnacentral:rRNA from 1 species
AGAGUUUGAUCCUGGCUCAGGACGAACGCUGGCGGCGUGCUUCAUACAUGCAAGUCGAACGAGAAUCUGGCUUCGGUCAGAGGAAAGUGGCGGACGGGUGAGUAAUAUGUAGGAAAUCUGCCCUUAAGAGGGGGACAACAGAGGGAAACUUCUGCUAAUACCCCAUAUGAGCGUAGCUGAAAUGCUAUUCUUGAAAACUCCGGUGCUUAAGGAUGAGCCUGCAUCUGAUUAGCUAGUUGGGGGUGUAAUGGACCACCAAGGCGACGAUCAGUAGCUGGUUUGAGAGGAUGAUCAGCCACAAUGGGACUGAGACACGGCCCAUACUCCUACGGGAGGCAGCAGUAGGGAAUUUUGCGCAAUGGGCGAAAGCCUGACGCAGCAACGCCGCGUGAUUGAUGAAGCCCUUCGGGGUGUAAAGAUCUGUCAGUGGGGACGAAACUUGACGGUACCCACAGAGGAAGCAUCGGCUAACUCCGUGCCAGCAGCCGCGGUAAUACGGGGGAUGCAAGCGUUGUCCAGAAUCAUUGGGCGUAAAGAGUUCGUAGGUGGCACGUUAAGUCUGGUGUUAAAUGCAGAGGCUCAACUUCUGUUCGGCACUGGAUACUGGCGAGCUAGAAUGCGGUAGAGGUAAAGGGAAUUCCUGGUGUAGCGGUGAAAUGCGUAGAUAUCAGGAGGAACAUCGGUGGCGUAAGCGCUUUACUGGGCCGUAAUUGACACUGAGGAACGAAAGCCAGGGUAGCAAAUGGGAUUAGAUACCCCAGUAGUCCUGGCCGUAAACGAUGGAUACUAGGUGUUGGCGGUAUCGACCCCUGCAGUGCCG